GGCUAGGUGGCGGAGUGGUUAACGCGGUAGACUCGAACUGAAGUCGGAGUGGGCUUCGAUGUGAUCUACUUCCUUCGGGAGCGUCUGUUCGAAUCAGGCCCUAGUCG